rnacentral:rRNA from 1 species
CAAGCCUAACACAUGCAAGUCGAACGGUAACAGAUCGCUGGGAUCCCUUCGGCUUGAUGCUGACGAGUGGCGGACGGGUGAGUAAUGCGUAGGAAUCUACCCAGUAGCGGGGGAUAGCUCGAGGAAACUCGAAUUAAUACCGCAUACGCCCUACGGGGGAAAGCAGGGGAUCUUCGGACCUUGCGCUAUUGGAGGAGCCUGCGUUGGAUUAGCUUGUUGGUGGGGUAAAGGCCCACCAAGGCGACGAUCCAUAGCUGGUCUGAGAGGAUGAUCAGUCACACCGGAACUGAGACACGGUCCGGACUCCUACGGGAGGCAGCAGUGGGGAAUAUUGGACAAUGGGGGCAACCCUGAUCCAGCUAUGCCGCGUGUGUGAAGAAGGCCUUAGGGUUGUAAAGCACUUUAAGCAGGGAAGAAGGCUGUACGGUUAAUACCCGUGCAGAUUGACAUUACCUGCAGAAUAAGCACCGGCUAACUCCGUGCCAGCAGCCGCGGUAAUACGGAGGGUGCAAGCGUUAAUCGGAAUUACUGGGCGUAAAGCGCGCGUAGGCGGUUUGAUCAGUUGGGUGUGAAAGCCCCGGGCUUAACCUGGGAACUGCAUCCAAUACUGUCAGGCUAGAGUACGAGAGAGGGGGGUAGAAUUCCUAGUGUAGCGGUGAAAUGCGUAGAUAUGUGGAGGAAUACCAGUGGCGAAGGCGGCCCCCUGGCUCGAUACUGACGCUGAGGCGCGAAAGCGUGGGGAGCAAACAGGAUCAGAUACCCUGGUAGUCCACGCCGUAAACGAUGUCAACUAGCCGUUGGGGAGCUUUGUCUCCUUAGUGGCGCAGCUAACGCGCUAAGUUGACCGCCUGGGGAGUACGGUCGCAAGAUUAAAACUCAAAUGAAUUGACGGGGGCCCGCACAAGCGGUGGAGCAUGUGGUUUAAUUCGACGCAACGCGAAGAACCUUACCAGGUCUUGACAUCCAGAGAACUUUCCAGAGAUGGAUUGGUGCCUUCGGGAACUCUGAGACAGGUGCUGCAUGGCUG